GUGGCGGACGGGUGAGUAACACGUGGGUAACCUGCCCUUAAGUGGGGGAUAACAUUUGGAAACAGAUGCUAAUACCGCAUAGAUCCAAGAACCGCAUGGUUCUUGGCUGAAAGAUGGCGUAAGCUAUCGCUUUUGGAUGGACCCGCGGCGUAUUAGCUAGUUGGUGAGGUAAUGGCUCACCAAGGCGAUGAUACGUAGCCGAACUGAGAGGUUGAUCGGCCACAUUGGGACUGAGACACGGCCCAAACUCCUACGGGAGGCAGCAGUAGGGAAUCUUCCACAAUGGACGCAAGUCUGAUGGAGCAACGCCGCGUGAGUGAAGAAGGCUUUCGGGUCGUAAAACUCUGUUGUUGGAGAAGAAUGGUCGGCAGAGUAACUGUUGCCGGCGUGACGGUAUCCAACCAGAAAGCCACGGCUAACUACGUGCCAGCAGCCGCGGUAAUACGUAGGUGGCAAGCGUUAUCCGGAUUUAUUGGGCGUAAAGCGAGCGCAGGCGGUUUUUUAAGUCUGAUGCGAAAGCCCUCGGCUUAACCGAGGAAGCGCAUCGGAAACUGGGAAACUUGAGUGCAGAAGAGGACAGUGGAACUCCAUGUGUAGCGGUGAAAUGCGUAGAUAUAUGGAAGAACACCAGUGGCGAAGGCGGCUGUCUGGUCUGUAACUG
rnacentral:rRNA from 1 species